AAUCCGUGAUGAGGGCAUUUGGUUUGAUAACCCUUAAAGCGUUCCCAAGCUUCAUAGAAGCUUUCAUUUUGCUUCUGAGUGAAUCCCGAGAUCUCAUUCUGGAGUCU
rfam:Arabidopsis thaliana chromosome 5, complete sequence.